GAGGCUGGUAGGGGUCACUGGAACCUUAGGUGGAGCGGUGAAAUGCGUAGAUAUCUAAGGGAACGCCUGUGGCGAAAGCGGGUGACUGGGCCAGUCCUGACGCUGAGACCCGAAAGCGUAGGGAGCGAACGGGAUUAGAUACCCCGGUAGUCUACGCCGUAAACGAUGCGCACUAGGUUCGAGGGUUCUGACAACCAUCGUGCCGUAACAAAAGCGAGAAGUGCGCCGCCUGGGGAGUACGGCCGCAAGGCUAAAACUCAAAGGAAUUGACGGGGGCUCACACAAGCGGUGGAGCAUGUGGAUCAAUUCGAAGCAACGCGAAGAACCCUACCUGGGUUUGACAUGUGCGGAUGCUCUCGGUGAAAGCUGAGUAGGCUGCCUUCGGGUGAAACGUACACAGGUGCUGCAUGGCUGUCGUCAGCUCGUGCUGUGAAGUGUCGGGUUAAGUCCCUUAACGAGCGAAACCCUUGUCGCUAGUUGCCAGCGGGUAAAGCCGGGGACUCUAGCGAGACUGCCGGCGUUAAGCCGGAGGAAGGUGGGGACGACGUCAAGUCAUCAUGGCCUUUAUGCCCAGGGUUUCACACGUGCUACAAUGGGACGUACAGAGCGACGCGAUACCGUGAGGUGGAGCAAAUCGCACAAAGCGUCCCUCAGUUCGGAUUGAGGUCUGCAAUUCGACCUCAUGAAGUUGGAAUCGCCAGUAAUCGCGUAUCAGCAAUGACGCGGUGAAUAUGUUCCUGAGCCUUGUACACACCGCCCGUCAAGUCAUGGGAAUUGGGAGUUCCCGAAGCCGCCACAUCUCAGUGGUGUCGACGGAAAGCCCGGUGACUAGGACUAAGUCGUAACAAGGUAACC
rnacentral:rRNA from 1 species